UGGGGAAUCUUGCGCAAUGGGCGAAAGCCUGACGCAGCAACGCCGCGUGGGGGAUGACGGCCUUCGGGUUGUAAACCUCUUUCGACACUGACGAAGCCUGUCUUACUGGGCAGGUGACGGUAGGUGUAGAAGAAGCACCGGCUGACUACGUGCCAGCAGCCGCGGUAAUACGUAGGGUGCGAGCGUUGUCCGGAUUUAUUGGGCGUAAAGAGCUCGUAGGCGGUUUGUCGCGUCGCUCGUGAAAACCUACAGCUUAACUGUGGGCUUGCGGUCGAUACGGGCAGACUUGAGUUCGGCAGGGGAGACUGGAAUUCCUGGUGUAGCGGUGAAAUGCGCAGAUAUCAGGAGGAACACCGGUGGCGAAGGCGGGUCUCUGGGCCGAUACUGACGCUGAGGAGCGAAAGCGUGGGGAGCGAACAGG
rnacentral:rRNA from 1 species